GAAAUGCGAUAAGUAGUGUGAAUUGCAGAAUUCAGUGAAUCAUCGAAUCUUUGAACGCACAUUGCGCCCCUUGGUAUUCCAUGGGGCAUGCCUGUUCGAGCGUCAUCUACACCCUCAAGCUCUGCUUGGUGUUGGGCGUCUUUGUCCCGCCUCCGCGCGCGGACUCGCCCCAAAUUCAUUGGCAGCGGUCCUUGCCUCCUCUCGCGCAGCACAUUGCGCUUCUCGAGGUGUUGCGGCCCGCGUCCAGAAAGCAAUCGUUACCGUCUUUGACCUCGGAUCAGGUAGGGAUACCCGCUGCACUUAAGC
rnacentral:misc_RNA from 1 species